rnacentral:rRNA from 1 species
AGUUUAUUGGUUUUUAUAAUAAAUUUUUUCUGCCCGGUGUUAUAUAAACGGCCGCGGUAUCUUGACCGUGCAAAGGUAGCAUAAUCAUUUGUCCUUUUAUUGGGGACUGGAAUGAAAGAAUGAUGCGAGAUCUUUUCUGUCUCUUUUUUAUUGAUUGUAGAAUUUGUUGUUUGUGUGAAGAAACAUAAGUGGUGAAAAAAGACAAGAAGACCCUAUUAAGCUUUAUUUUUUAGUUUUUAUUGUUUGCUUUAAAGUAUUGGCUGUAAAUUGUAAAAAAUUUUGUUGGGGUGACAAAAAAGGAUUGUAGUAUCCUCUUUUAGUCUUAUAAACUCUGGGUUUAAAAAUGGGCCGUUUUUUCGAUGGUGAGAAUUAGCUACUAUAGGGAUAACAGCGUAAUUCUUUUGGAGAGUUCUUAUUGAGAAAAGAGUUUGCGACCUCGAUGUUGACUUAUUAUUUCCUAUGAAGGUGCAGUCGUUGAAAGGGUUAGUCUGUUCGACUAUUAAAAUAAU